CAGUCGCCACGGUAAUACGCAGGUGGCAAGCGUUGUCCGGAAUUAUUGGGCGUAAAGGGCUCGCAGGCGGUUUCUUAAGUCUGAUGUGAAAGCCCCCGGCUCAACCGGGGAGGGUCAUUGGAAACUGGGAAACUUGAGUGCAGAAGAGGAGAGUGGAAUUCCACGUGUAGCGGUGAAAUGCGUAGAGAUGUGGAGGAACACCAGUGGCGAAGGCGACUCUCUGGUCUGUAACUGACGCUGAGGAGCGAAAGCGUGGGGAGCGAACAGGAUUAGAUACCCGAGUAGUCCCUGUCUCUUAUAC
rnacentral:rRNA from 1 species